ensembl:misc_RNA Metazoa_SRP Metazoan signal recognition particle RNA
GCCAGAUGUGGUGGCGCACACCUGUAGUCCCAUCUACUUAGGAGGCUGAGGCAGGAGGAUUUCUUGUGCCCAGGAAUUUGAGGUUAUAGUGAGCUAUGAUUGUGCCACUGCACUCCAGCUUGGGCAACAGAGUGAAACCCUGUCUCUU